rnacentral:lncRNA from 1 species
CUUCGGAGGUCAGAGCUCGGCGGGGUGCGGCUAGUGGCGGAGCGCGCUGCGAGGGGAGGGCUUUCCACUGUCGCUGGCGUGAACUCGCGUGCCCGCAAGCUGGAUUUCGGGAAUGCUCAGUUCAGAAGAGAAAAAAUUGCCGGGAAUCAAGUCCUUCUUUUUGUUAGUCGGUAGUCGAUUGAUGGGAAGUGUUCAAAAUCAUUCGAUGUGGUGACAAGGCUUCACCAGGUACUGCCUUCUAACGAGCUGGCCAUUUCCACAUGUCAGAUAGGACCAACUUGCCUUUUAACUACCCGUGUGAUACUUAAACACUGUUGCCGGUAUCACAGCUUUUCUUCAAAACAGGAUCUUGCUCUGUCACCCAGGCUGGAGUACAGUAGCACCAUCACUGCUCACUGUAGCCUCGACCUGCUGGGCUCAAGUGAUCCUCCCAUCUCAGCCUCCUGAGUAGGGGACUACACACAGGCACCACCAUGAUCCGGUAUCACCAGUCUGUGGGUACAAAAGGAGAGUAACAUGAACGAUUCAAAUUCCACUGGCUCUUGUUCCCAUGGAUUCACAGAAGUUCAGCCCCAUUUCAAAACUUCACAUUUGCUUCUGGGAAGCCCAUUCUGGAAAGUUUCUCUGUGGCCCUCUCCAGAAGGCAGCGCGACUUCCACCCAGCAACACAAGUCUCUGCAGCACCUGCCCCAGCAGCGCCAGCUGAGCCCCGGAAGCUGGGAAGGCUUAAGCUGACUCUUCUGCUGCACAUAGCAAAAAAUGGUCAUUUCUGUAGUUGCAGCUCCAGAUCUACAAUAAUCAAUCUAUAUCCAUAUUUUAUGGGGUUUUUUUGAGACAAAGUCUUGCUCUGUUACUCAGGCUGGAGUGCAGUGGCAUUAUCAUCAUUCACUUGUAGCCUUGACCUCCCUGGCUCAGGUGAUCCUGUCACCUCAGCCUUCCAAGUAGCUGAGACCACAGGCAUGCACCACUAAGCCUGGCUAAUUUUUCAAUUUUUAUUUUUCGUAGAGACAGGGUCUCCCUGGGUUGCCCAAACUGGUCUUGAAUUCCUGGGCUCAAGCAAUCCUCCUGUCCCGGCACCCCGAAGUGUUGGGACUACAGGCAUGAGCCACUGUGCACAG